rnacentral:rRNA from 1 species
UAAGGAAUAUUGGUCAAUGGACGCAAGUCUGCACCAGCCAUGCCGCGUGAAGGAUUAAGGCCCUCUGGGUUGUAAACUUCUUUUAUAGGGGAAGAAAUGUGACGGUUCUCCGUCACUUGACGGUACCCUGGGAAUAAGCACCGGCUAACUCCGUGCCAGCAGCCGCGGUAAUACGUAGGCAGCAAGCGUUGUUCGGAAUUACUGGGCGUAAAGGGUGCGUAGGCGGCGCUCUAAGUUUGGUGUGAAAUCUCCCGGCUUAACUGGGAGGGUGCACUGAAAACUGGGGCGCUCGAGUAUGGGAAANGAAAGCGGAAUUCCUGGUGUAGCGGUGAAAUGCGUAGAGAUCAGGAGGAACACCUGCGGUGCAGGCGGCUUUCUGGACCAUCACUGACGCUGAGGCACGAAAGCGUGGGUAGCAAAC